rnacentral:sRNA from 1 species
CAAGUUUGAGCGGGAUUUUACAGAGUAUCGUAAAGUCUAGCGGCAAACGGGUGGGUAACACGUAGGAAACCUCCCUCAAAAUGGGGAAUAUCUCCGAGAAAUCGGAGUUAAUACCGCAUAAUACCGCAGUUUGGCAUCAAACAGAGGUCAAAGCAGCAAUGCGUUUUGAGAUGGUCUUGCGACCUAUCAGCUAGUUGGUUGGGUAACGGCCUACCAAGGCUAUGACGGGUAUCCGGCCUGAAAGGGUGAACGGACACACUGGAACUGAGACACGGUCCAGACUCCUGCGGGAGGCAGCAGUGGGGAAUUUUGGACAAUGGGGGAAACCCUGAUCCAGCGACGCCGCGUGGAGGAUGAAGGCCUUCGGGUUGUAAACUCCUUUUAGAGGGAAAGAAAAAAAUGACGGUACCCUCAGAAAAAGCCACGGCUAACUACGUGCCAGCAGCCGCGGUAAUACGUAGGUGGCGAGCGUUACUCGGAAUUACUAGGCGUAAAGCGUAUGUAGGCGGUCAUAUAAGUCUUUAGUGAAAUUUCCCGGCUUAACCGGGAAAGGUCUAAGGAUACUGUUUGACUUGAGUGUGGGAAGGGAAGAUGGAAUUCCUGGUGUAGCGGUGAAAUGCGUAGAUAUCAGGAGGAACACCGAUGGCGAAAGCAAUCUUCUGGCCCAAUACUGACGCUAAUGUACGAAAGCUAGGGUAGCAAACAGGAUUAGAUACCCUGGUAGUCCUAGCUGUAAACGAUGUUCACUAGAUGUGGGAGGUAUCGACCCCUUCUGCGCCAGCGCUAACGCAUUAAGUGAACCGCCUGGGGAGUACGGCCGCAAGGUUGAAACUCAAAGGAAUUGACGGGGGCCCGCACAAGCGGUGGAGUAUGUGGUUUAAUUCGAUGCAACGCGAAAAACCUUACCUGGGCUUGAACUGCUAAUGGUAAAAACCGGAAACGGCGAUGACCCGCAAGGGAGUUAGUAGAGGUGCUGCAUGGCUGUCGUCAGCUCGUGUCGUGAGAUGUUGGGUUAAGUCCCGCAACGAGCGCAACCCUUAUCCCAUGUUACCUGUAGCAAUACAGGGUCUCUGAGGAGACUGCCAUUGAUAAAAUGGAGGAAGGUGGGGACGAAGUCAAGUCAUCAUGGCCUUUAUGUCCAGGGCUACACACGUACUACAAUGGUCGGUACAGAGGGCAGCAAUAUCGCAAGAUGGAGCAAAUCCCUAAAAGCCGGCCUCAGUUCAGAUUGUGGGCUGCAAUUCGCCCACAUGAAGUAGGAAUCGCUAGUAAUCGCAGAUCAGCAGGCUGCGGUGAAUACGUUCCCGGGCCUUGUACACACCGCCCGUCACACCACGAAAGUCAGUUGUAACAGAAGUCGCUAAGCUAACCGCAAGGAGGCAAGCGCCGAAGUUAUGGUUGGUGAUUGGGGUGAAGUCGUAACAAGGUAGCCGUACGAGAACGUGCGGGCUUGGAUCACCUCCUUUGUGAUUGGGGUGAAGUCGUAACAAGGUAGCCGUACGAGAACGUGCGGGCUUGGAUCCACCUCCUUUUUUAAGGAGUAAACAUGCGUUUUGAGUUCACCCAAAACGAGAUGUUAACGGUCGGUUCUUGAUUUACAAUGUUUGGAUUUGCCAGAUUUUGCGGGGCGUUUGUCUGCAUGUUAUUUAGUUAUUUGCGCUAAAGGUGAAGGCUAUAUCUUACAAGGGCAUAAGUUGAGUAGUUGUUUAAGCGGGCCUAUAGCUCAGUUAGUCAGAGCGCACCCCUGAUAAGGGUGAGGUCUGUGGUGCAACUCCACAUAGGCCCACCAACAGUCUGAUAGUCUGCUUUUAUAAGAGAUGACAAGUUAUUGGUGAAAUGGGGAUAUAGCUCAGCUGGGAGAGCGCCUGCUUUGCAAGCAGGAGGUCGUCGGUUCAAAUCCGUCUAUCUCCACAGAUGAUUAUUUUCAGAUGUUUUUACGUCUGGACAUUAUAUAAAGCUGUUUUGUUCAUUGAAAACUUAAUAUUUGUAAGGUAAAUCAAGCGUCUUCAAAUUAAUUUUUGAAACAAUGUUUGCGCAAUUUAAAUAAGUCAUAUUUAUUUAACAUCUCGAAAGAGAUGGGAUUAAAAGAUAAUGUGACCAAGCUACUAAGUGCAUAUAGUGGAUGCCUUGAGAUAAUGUGACCAAGCUACUAAGUGCAUAUAGUGGAUGCCUUGGCUAAGACUGUCGAAGAAGGACGUGGUAAGCUGCGUUAAGCGUCGGGGAGGUGCUACAACCUUUGAUCCGGCGAUUUCCCAAUGGGGUAACCCACUGCAGAGUAAUCUGCAGUAUCCGAAAGGAAGGCAACCCAGGGAAGUGAAACAUCUCAGUACCUGGAGGAAAAGAAAUCAACCGAGUAUACCGAAAGUAGUGGCGAGCGAAAUCGGUGAAGCCUAAACCGUUGUGUUCACACAGUGGGGUUGCAGGACCGCAUAAGUAGAGUUACCAAUCAAAGAGUUAAUUGAACGGUUUGGAAAAUCCGACCAUAGAAGGUGAAAGUCCUGUAGGUGAAAACUUUUUGACUCGAAGCGGUAUCCUAAGUACCAUCGGACAAGUAAAAUCUGGUGGGAAUCUGGGGGGACCACCCUCCAAGGCUAAAUACAAGUCUUAGACCGAUAGUGAACCAGUACCGUGAGGGAAAGGCGAAAAGAACCGCGGGAGCGGAGUGAAAUAGAACCUGAAACUGUAUGCAUACAAGCAGUUCCAAGGCUUAUGUCGGAAACGCAAGUGACCCAAAAAUGGGCUGAAAACCGUGCCCUGUUGAAAAAAUGAUCCCGGCCAAGUUAUUUGGAAAGGCGCGAGGUUAAUUAUUGUGUUAACGCAAUAUUAAGUAACCCGUAGCGGAAACCCAAGUUCUGGAAAAGGGCCAAAUAGGCUUUAUCAUUUAGGACCCGGAAGCCCAAGUGAUCUAUGGCCUGGACAGGAGUGAAUUCCCCUUUAAUCGGGGGAAGGAGGGCUCGGAAGCGUCGACCCGUUGAAAAGGUCUUUGCAUGAGCUGGGUAUAGGGGUGAAAGGCCAAUCUAAUUGGUGAUAGCUGGUUCUCCUCGAAAUAGCUUUAGGGCUAGCCUGGAGCGUUAAAUCAGAGAGGUAGAGCACUGGAUAGUUUAGCGGAUGUAACCCAUUUUGCGAUGCUAACCAAACUCCGAAUUCUUUGACGUAUUUCUCUGGAGUCAGUACGUGUGGGAUAAGCUUCACGUGCAAAAGGGAAACAACCCAGACCAUCAAUUAAGGUCCCAAAAUAUAUGCUAAGUGGUAAAGGAUGUGGAAUUUCUUAGACAGCUAGGAGGUUGGCUUAGAAGCAGCCAUCCUUUAAAGAGUGCGUAACAGCUCACUAGUCAAGUGAUUCUGCGCCGAAAACACCCGGGGCUCAAGCAUAUUACCGUAAUUAUGGAUUCUAUAGUAAUCAAUUAUAGAGUGGUAGAGGAGCGUUCCUGCUGCGCUGAAGGCAUACCGUAAGGAGUGCUGGAGUUGCAGGAAGUGAGGAUGUCGGAAUAAGUAGCGAUAAGAGAAGUGAAAAUCUUCUCCGCCGAAAACCUGAGGUUUCCUUGAGUAAAGUUCGUCUGCUCAGGGUCUGUCGAUCCUUAGCUGAGGUCGAAAGACGUAGGCGAUGGGUAUCCGGUUAAUAUUCCGGAACUAUCUUUAGUGCGCAUAAUGUGUUUGGCUACACUUUUUAGUAGGUCAUCAUCCGAUUGGAAGUGGAUGUUGCUCCGCAAGGAGGAGGACCUUGAGGCAACUUAAGGGAACUGACUGUAUGGGAAGCCAAGAAAAACCCAGACACCUGUGCUAGAGGUAAACGUACCGCAAACGGACACACGUAGGUGGGGUGAAAAACCUAAGGCGCGCGAGAUAACUUUCGUUUAGGAACUCGGCAUAUUGGCCCCGUAACUUCGGGAUAAGGGGUACCUGUGGCAACAUAGGUCGCAGUGAAAUGGCCCUCGUGACUGUUUAACAAAAACACAGGACUCUGCUGAAAUCACAAGAUGAUGUAUAGGGUCUGACGCCUGCCCGGUGCUGGAAGGUCAAGGGGAAGGAGUUAGCGCAAGCAAAGCUCUGAACUUAAGCCCCAGUAAACGGCGGCCGUAACUAUAACCGGUCCUAAAGGAAGCGAAAUUCCUUGGCCGGU